rnacentral:rRNA from 1 species
AUUGAACGCUGGCGGCAGGCCUAACACAUGCAAGUCGAGCGGAGUGGCGGACGGGUGAGUAAUGCCUAGGAAUCUGCCUGUAGUGGGGGAUAACGUUCCGGAACGGGCCCUAAUACCGCAUACCAACCGAUGUGCCUAGGUGGGAUUAGCUAGUUGGUGGGGUAAAGGCCUACCAAGGCGACGAUCCGUAACUGGUCUGAGAGGAAGAUCAGUCACACUGGAACUGAGACACGGUCCAGACUCCUACGGGAGGCAGCAGUGGGGAAUAUUGGACAAUGGGCGAAAGCCUGAGCCAGCCAUGCCGCGUGUGUGAAGAAGGUCUUCGGAUUGUAAAGCACUUUAAGUUGGGAGGCGUUACCAACAGAAUAAGCACCGGCUAACUUCGUGCCAGCAGCCGCGGUAAUAC